GGCCAAGUUUUUAAGGGCGCACGGUGGAUGCCUUGGCACCAGGAACCGAUGAAGGACGUGGGAGGCCACGAUAGGCCCCGGGGAGCUGUCAACCGAGCUUUGAUCCGGGGGUGUCCGAAUGGGGAAACCCGGCAGUCGUCAUGGGCUGUCACCCGCUGCUGAACACAUAGGCAGUGUGGAGGGAACGCGGGGAAGUGAAACAUCUCAGUACCCGCAGGAAGAGAAAACAACCGUGAUUCCGGGAGUAGUGGCGAGCGAAACUGGAUGAGGCCAAACCAGUCACGUGUGAUACCCGGCAGGGGUUGCGUGGUUGGGGUUGUGGGAUCUCUCUUUGCAGUCUGCCGGCUGUGAGGCGAGUCAGAAACCGUUGAUGUAGGCGAAGGACAUGCGAAAGGUCCGGCGUAGAGGGUAAGACCCCCGUAGCUGAAACAUUAGCGGCUCGUUUGAGAGACACCCAAGUAGCACGGGGCCCGAGAAAUCCCGUGUGAAUCUGGCGGGACCACCCGUUAAGCCUAAAUAUUCCCUGGUGACCGAUAGCGGAUAGUACCGUGAGGGAAUGGUGAAAAGUACCGCGGGAGCGGAGUGAAAUAGUACCUGAAACCGUGUGCCUACAAGCCGUGGGAGCGUCGCUGGUGAGUUUACUCAUCAGUCGUGACUGCGUGCCUUUUGAAGAAUGAGCCUGCGAGUUUGCGGUAUGUUGCGAGGUUAACCCGUGUGGGGAAGCCGUAGCGAAAGCGAGUCCGAAUAGGGCGUGGAGUAGCAUGCUCAAGACCCGAAGCGGAGUGAUCUAGCCAUGGGCAGGUUGAAGCGGAGGUAAGACUUCGUGGAGGACCGAACCCACCAGGGUUGAAAACCUGGGGGAUGACCUGUGGUUAGGGGUGAAAGGCCAAUCAAACUCCGUGAUAGCUGGUUCUCCCCGAAAUGCAUUUAGGUGCAGCGUCGUGUGUUUCUUGCCGGAGGUAGAGCACUGGAUAGGCGAUGGGCCCUACCGGGUUACUGACCUUAGCCAAACUCCGAAUGCCGGUAAGUGAGAGCGCGGCAGUGAGACUGUGGGGGAUAAGCUCCAUGGUCGAGAGGGAAACAGCCCAGAGCAUCGACUAAGGCCCCUAAGCGUGUGCUAAGUGGGAAAGGAUGUGGAGUCGCAGAGACAACCAGGAGGUUGGCUUAGAAGCAGCCACCCUUGAAAGAGUGCGUAAUAGCUCACUGGUCAAGUGAUUCCGCGCCGACAAUGUAGCGGGGCUCAAGUACACCGCCGAAGUCGUGUCAUUGCGAUAUUACUCCUAACGGGGAUCGUGAUGGGUAGGGGAGCGUCGUGUGCCGGGUGAAGCAGCCGUGGAAACGAGUUGUGGACGGUUCACGAGUGAGAAUGCAGGCAUGAGUAGCGAUACAAGAGUGGGAAACUCUUGCGCCGAUUGACUAAGGGUUCCUGGGUCAAGCUGAUCUGCCCAGGGUAAGUCGGGACCUAAGGCGAGGCCGACAGGCGUAGUCGAUGGACAACCGGUUGAUAUUCCGGUACCCGCUUUGAAGCGCCCAAUACUGAAUCAGGCGAUGCUAAGUCCGUGAAGCCGCCCUGGAGCCUUCGGGCAAAGGGGAGUGGUGGAGCCGACGGACCAGACUUGUAGUAGGUAAGCGAUGGGGUGACGCAGGAAGGUAGUCCAGCCCGGGCGGUGGUUGUCCCGGGGUAAGGGUGUAGGCCGUGUGGUAGGUAAAUCCGUCGCACGUUAAGGCUGAGACCUGAUGCCGAGCCGAUUGUGGUGAAGUGGAUGAUCCUAUGCUGUCGAGAAAAGCCUCUAGUGAGUUUCAAGGCGGCCCGUACCCUAAACCGACUCAGGUGGUCAGGUAGAGAAUACCGAGGCGUUCGGGUGAACUAUGGUUAAGGAACUCGGCAAAAUGCCCCCGUAACUUCGGGAGAAGGGGGCCAUUUCUGGUGAGGGAACUUGCUUCCUGAGCUGGGGGUGGCCGCAGAGACCAGCGAGAAGCGACUGUUUACUAAAAACACAGGUCCGUGCGAAGCCGUAAGGCGAUGUAUACGGACUGACGCCUGCCCGGUGCUGGAACGUUAAGGGGACCGGUUAGCUUGGAUUCGUUCAGGCGAAGCUGAGAACUUAAGCGCCAGUAAACGGCGGUGGUAACUAUAACCAUCCUAAGGUAGCGAAAUUCCUUGUCGGGUAAGUUCCGACCUGCACGAAUGGCGUAACGACUUCUCGACUGUCUCAACCAUAGGCCCGGUGAAAUUGCAUUACGAGUAAAGAUGCUCGUUUCGCGCAGCAGGACGGAAAGACCCCGGGACCUUUACUAUAGCUUGAUAUUGGUGUUCGGUUCGGCUUGUGUAGGAUAGGUGGGAGACUGUGAAGCGCCAACGCCAGUUGGUGUGGAGUCGUUGUUGAAAUACCACUCUGGUCGUGCUGGAUGUCUAACCUGGGUCCGUGAUCCGGAUCAGGGACAGUGUCUGGUGGGUAGUUUAACUGGGGCGGUUGCCUCCUAAAGAGUAACGGAGGCGCCCAAAGGUUCCCUCAGCCUGGUUGGUAAUCAGGUGUUGAGUGUAAGUGCACAAGGGAGCUUGACUGUGAGACUGACGGGUCGAGCAGGUACGAAAGUAGGGACUAGUGAUCCGGCGGUGGCUUGUGGAAGCGCCGUCGCUCAACGGAUAAAAGGUACCCCGGGGAUAACAGGCUGAUCUUCCCCAAGAGUCCAUAUCGACGGGAUGGUUUGGCACCUCGAUGUCGGCUCGUCGCAUCCUGGGGCUGGAGUCGGUCCCAAGGGUUGGGCUGUUCGCCCAUUAAAGCGGUACGCGAGCUGGGUUUAGAACGUCGUGAGACAGUUCGGUCCCUAUCCGCUGUGCGCGUAGGAGUCUUGAGAAGGGCUGUCCCUAGUACGAGAGGACCGGGACGGACGAACCUCUGGUGUGCCAGUUGUUCUGCCAAGGGCAUGGCUGGUUGGCUACGUUCGGAAAGGAUAACCGCUGAAAGCAUCUAAGCGGGAAGCCUGCUUCGAGAUGAGGGCUCCCUCCUCCUUGAGAGGGUAAGGCUCCCAGUAGACGACUGGGUUGAUAGGCCAGAUAUGGAAGCACUGUAAGGUGUGGAGUUGACUGGUACUAAUAGGCCGAGGGCUUGUCCUC
rnacentral:rRNA from 1 species